rnacentral:rRNA from 1 species
GAUGAACGCCGGCGGUGUGCCUAAUACAUGCAAGUCGUACGCACUGGCCCAACUGAUUGAUGGUGCUUGCACCUGAUUGACGAUGGAUCACCAGUGAGUGGCGGACGGGUGAGUAACACGUAGGUAACCUGCCCCGGAGCGGGGGAUAACAUUUGGAAACAGAUGCUAAUACCGCAUAACAACAAAAGCCACAUGGCUUUUGUUUGAAAGAUGGCUUUGGCUAUCACUCUGGGAUGGACCUGCGGUGCAUUAGCUAGUUGGUAAGGUAACGGCUUACCAAGGCGAUGAUGCAUAGCCGAGUUGAGAGACUGAUCGGCCACAAUGGAACUGAGACACGGUCCAU